rnacentral:rRNA from 1 species
GGACUACACGGGUAUCUAAUCCCGUUUGCUCCCCUGGCUUUCGUGUCUCAGUGUCAGCACUUCCCCAGUCAGUUGUUUUCACCAUUGGCGUUCCAAAUGAUAUCUACGCAUUUCACCGCUCCACCAUUUGUUCCACUGACCCCUAGAAGGCUCAAGACCAGCAGUAUACCAAGCAGUUCCACGGUUAAGCCGCGGGAUUUCACAAAGUACUUACCAGUCCACCUACACACGCUUUAAGCCCAGUGAUUCCGCCUAACGCUUGGCACCUCUGUCUUACCGCGGCUGCUGGCAC